rnacentral:rRNA from 1 species
GAUGAACGCUGGCGGCGUGCCUAAUACAUGCAAGUCGAGCGAACGGACGAGAAGCUUGCUUCUCUGAUGUUAGCGGCGGACGGGUGAGUAACACGUGGAUAACCUACCUAUAAGACUGGGAUAACUUCGGGAAACCGGAGCUAGUACCGGAUAAUAUUUUGAACCGCAUGGUUCAAAAGUGAAAGACGGUCUUGCUGUCACUUAUAGAUGGAUCCGCGCUGCAUUAGCUAGUUGGUAAGGUAACGGCUUACCAAGGCAACGAUGCAUAGCCGACCUGAGAGGGUGAUCGGCCACACUGGAACUGAGACACGGUCCAGACGCCUACGGGAGGCAGCAGUAGGGAAUCUUCCGCAAUGGGCGAAAGCCUGACGGAGCAACGCCGCGUGAGUGAUGAAGGUCUUCGGAUCGUAAAACUCUGUUAUUAGGGAAGAACAUAUGUGUAAGUAACUGUGCACAUCUUGACGGUACCUAAUCAGAAAGCCACGGCUAACUACGU